rnacentral:ncRNA from 1 species
CUUUGCACACGCGGGAGCUCGGAGCACCGGGCUGAGAGGGCGCUGACCUUCGUACAUCCGUACGGGACAGCUGCGCCGACCGCCGAACCUGUUACCGGGUAAUGCCGGCGUAGGGAGUAGGUCUCAUGACCGU